rnacentral:rRNA from 1 species
AUGGCAGUAGUGUCGAUGCUCGAUGGGUCAAAUGAGCUAUACACCAUAAAAGUCCUAACAGCGAUACCUCCCACCAACUCACAACAACAUACUCAAAGCAAUGGAUUGGUUGCAGGCUCGGGUAAAAGAACGACCAGUCCAUUAGAUGAAAUAUUUAUAGUUGAGAUGCAUCCAAUCGGAUCAAAAGCACACUAUCCUAUGAUGCGGCAACAAGCGGUUUCUAACAUAAAUGUGAAUAUAGAAAAUCAAAACAUAAUUGAAGACAUUACCACACAUGUGCUUGAAUUGAAGAAGCAUGCACUCACAUAA